ensembl:lncRNA
GCUGAUGAAGUCGGAGAUCAGUAUGAGGAGCGCUUAAGGGAAGUGUUCCAGAGCUUUGAUGGGAAUGGUGCUGGUUCUCUAAACCCAGAGGAGCUCGCUGAACUCUGCCACGCCCUGCAGCUGAACGACACGGCAAUACACACACUUCUACACACACUGCUCGACACUCAGGACCAACUCACUGCACGGGUAAGGAAUCUCAAUUCUUCAAACUUUGUGCAGCCGCGCUUUGUAAAGGGCAAUAAGCGAUAUGGCCGUCGGUCCACACCAGAGUUUACACAUGCCAUUUCAGAACCUCCUGAGGAGGAACUGGAGGAAGAGGCUACAGAGAUCAGUGAUGGGACAAUAUCGAUCAAGCGUCAGUUGCAUCUGUGGAAUCCUGAUGAACCCAGUACACCGCGUGGCAGCAUGGCGCCCCUCAGUGACCUGGAGGAGAGAUUGCACAGUGCUUGCCAGCAGCUCUCUCUGCCGCUGAAUGGCAUGGCUACUCCACAACAACUGCACACACUGUGCCAGCAUCUUGGCAUGGAGGUUGGAGAAGAUGCGUUUCAGUCUGUGGAUGAGGAGUGUAUGAUGAGUGUACAGGAAUUUGUUUCCUGCGUCCUUAACAGAAACAAACCUCCUACUCCCUCUGCCUCAACACCCUACAGACAACUUAAGAGACACCACUCUAUGCAGCCGUUUGAUGAGACAGGCCGCAGGAUCUCGUCUUUGUUGAGCGGUACAAUAGGACUGCGGCUGUUCUCUGGAUUAGAUGAUGGAACAGGACACACAGCUGUAGAUCAGCUGCUGGACACCUGGCUAGAAGAGGGAGUGGAGAACUGCACAGAGAUCCUACAGGCUCUGGAUUUCAGCCUUGAUGGAAAGGUGAAUCUGAGUGAGCUGACAGCAGCUCUGGAGAAUGAGCUGUUGAUCACCAAGAACUCCAUCCACCAGGCGGCACUGGUGAGCUUUAAGGCGGAGAUCAGACACCUGCUUGAGCGUGUGGACCUGGAGCUCAGGGAAAAGGAGAAAAUCCGCUCUGAUCUGGAGAAAGCAGAAAAGCUCAAAUCUCAGUUGGCCUCUGAUGUGGAUGAACAUCACUCUGCCAUUGAACGCAUUAAUGAUCUGAACCUGCGGAAAUUAGAGCAGGAAUAUAAGGACAGAAUGGCUACUCUGAGGGUGGAGCUGAGCAAAGAGGUGGAGCUUGUGAGACUACAAGCCAAUCAGCAGAGUGAAGAACUGGAACAGGAAAUUAGGAGGAUCAGAGAUGAUGAGUCCUUUCUCAGAGAACACCUUACUCUGACUAUUAAGGAGAAUGGCCGCUUGGAAUCAGAGCUGCUGGACAGCACAGAGCGGCUGAUUGAAGCAGAUGCACAGCUGACUAAAUUGCAGAAAAACCUGGACAGUGUGCUCAAAGAGAGGUUUGGAGAUUUGGAUCUGAGCAAUGCAGAAUUUUACCAGCAGGAGGAGCGUCUGAGGCAGCUUCGCAGCAGUUAUGAGGAGCAGUGCCGGGAGCUACAAGAUCGUAUAGAUGAGUUACAGGCACAGUUAGAGGACUGCCGAGCUAUGGGACGGACUCCGCAGCUCUCUCUCAUGCCCUCUCUGUCUGAUGAGUUGGAUAGCAGAAGUCCUGGCAGGGAGUCUGACCAAGGUGUGUGUUCUUUCCUUUUGUUUUUUUUAACUUUCAAUAUACACCGACAUGUCAGAAGUCAUGGGACAGGAGUUGGAAUCAUGAAGGAGUUAGAGACCCACUUCUCACAGAGAAUCAAAGAAGUAGAGGCACGUUUCUCUGGUGACCAGGAAGCGGUGUCUGAGCGUUUUCAGACAGACGUACGAAAGCUGGAGCAGCACUACCAGAGCGAGCUUUCUGUGCUCACCCAGCGGCACGCCGCAGAGCGUGCACAGUGGGAAGAGGAGCUGGAAGCUGCAGUUCAGGAAGCAGAGCAGCAAAGGAAACUCCUACGAGAAGCUCUACAGCUAGAAAGAGAGAAUAUGGUCCAGGAGUUUGCAAAGGAACGAGAGACGCUGGAAAACAGCCAUGCUGCAGAGAUGGAGGCUCUAAGGGAAAAGAACCUAGAGCUGCAGAAUCAACUGGAGAACUUUAUUAGCUCCGCUCAAAUGAAGGAGAUCGAGCUCAGCCGUCAGCUAAAUGAGCUCCACAACCGGCUGCAGGAGAACCUGGAGACAAAGGAUGCGUUGCUAAGUCAUGCUGAAUGCAGGGCUGAGGAACUAGAGCAGCUGCUCAGACAGGCUACUGAGGACUUUGCACAGGAGAGGGCAGAGCUACAGUGCAACCUGUUGGAGUUGGAGGCCCAGCAAACUGAGACACAUUCGUUAGCUGAGAAACAGAUUCAGGAGCGAAGUGAUUUGCUUGCAGAGCGAGAGGAGUUGAAGGGAAAGUUGGAGGAGUUGGAGAAGGUCCUUCGCCAGGCGGUGGAAGACUUUCACUAUGAGCGACUGGAGCUGCAGGGCACUGUAGCUGAGCUGGAAGAGAAACUGAAAGAGAGCGUGUCAUUAAUAAUGGAGAAGGAGGAGCAGAGAGUAGCACUGUUGACCGAGAGGGACAGCUUAGAACUGAAAGUUCAGGAGAUGGAGGCAGAACUUGCAGAAGCUACCAGAGCAAUGGCUGUGGACAGGCAAGUGUUUCAGGAGCUAGGCAUAGGGAUGGAGUUUCUUGCUUCAUCUGCAGAGAAUUUUAUUGCUGUCAGAGAUGCAUGUGAGGAUGAGACCGCAGAUCACCAAUCAGAGGACUUUAGUGUUCUAGGAGCGGAUUCACCAUCUGUACAAGAUGAGGAUCUUGAGGGAGAGUUAACUUUGCAGAAGGAAAAUGCAGGAGACUUUGCAGGAGAAGACGCACAGACUGUUAAUGCUGAGAUGCUGAAAAUAAGUGGUGCUCGGGUUCUAAGCUGUGAUGAGAGUGAUUGUAGAGAUAGCAGUGAGAAAGUAGAAAAGGAGGAGGAUGGCUUUUAUGAGCCAGGUGGUACUUAUACCUUGGGAAGAGCAGAGAGCACAGACAAACUUUCUGUUGGCAAUUUGGAUAAUGAUUAUCAUGAGUGUGUGGUCUCCUGGGAUAGCAUUAGAUCUGUAGAUGUUUCUGAGGAGAUGGUUGACUUGACCAUUCCCAAUCUCGCAGCUGAGGAUGGGGAAGGUUUUGAGGCUGGAGAACCUGUAGAAGAAUUCCCAAGUGUUGAGAUGGAGGUUGCAAGACUUUGCACCUUAUCUGAAGAUGACAAGGUAGAGAUUCCAAGCAACCUCAUAGAUGAAGUGGAGGAGGAAAAAGGUGUAGACAAAAACAGUAAUGCAGUUAUUUGCAAUAGAACAGUGGUGCCAGGUGCUGAAUGUGGCGUCAGGAACAGGAACGUAGGGGAUAACUCUGCGAAUGAUGACAAUGCGGAGAACAUCCCUGAGGUCAAUAGCAUUAGCAUUGGUGAGAUUCUACCUGAGGAAGGGUUGAUUGAGACUGUCGAGAUGGCUUGCACAAGUGAAAAGGAAGAAGUGGAUAAGAUGGCUGAAGAGAAUCCUUUGGACAGUGAUAUUGCCAUUGCUGCAGCAAGCCUAGAUGAAGAUAAUGUAUCCCCAUCUUCAUUUGUGAUCUCUUCUGAGCUAAGUGAAGAUGUCUUGAGUGAAAGGCAGAAUAAAGACUACUUGGAGCCCAUGUUGGAGAAUGCAGAAGUAUUGAGGAUAGUUGAGGAGUGUUCUGAGAUCACUGGUACCCUAGACCUUGAAAAGGAUUCUGAUGAUUCAACCCAGUUGAACACAGUUGAGGAGGAUCAAGGUAAAGAAAAUGAAGCACAAGAGAGUGCAGAGGUUAUCAGCGAUUCUAUGGCAAUGGAUAACGAGCCAAACAAUGUUGAGGUUGCAGACCAAUAUGAUUCCACCACUGCUGAAGAUGAAGCCUCUUGCCACAAGGAGCCCAUACAGGAUCCCAAAGCUAUCGAUCAGGCAGAUAUUCCCAAUGAUCUUGAAUGUCCAGAACUGACUGUAGCUCUUGAGAAUGAAUCCAUGGUAAAAGAAACCAACCAGCAAGAAACUCAUGAGGACCAAAGCAUCUGUGCCAGAGAGAUCCUGGAGUUGCAGGAAAUAGCAGUGCAGUUCAAAGACCAGAGCAGCCUUCUGGAGGUUCUCCAGGACCAGUACAGCAGUGCUGUAGAGCAGAAUCUCUCUCUGCAAGAGCAGCUAAGCCUGCUACAACAGCACACCAAUGAGCUGGAACUGCUGCUGGACCUAAACAGAGGGAAGCUGCAGGAGAGCCAUGAGCUCAGGGUAGAGUUAAUCGCUUUGGCAGCCCAAGCUAAAGAACUGGAGAUCAAAGAGCUGGAGCUCACUGAUCUUCAAAAGAGCUAUGAGGAGUGUGUUUGCGAGAAUUUGCAGUUAGUAGAUCGCAACAGGAAACUGGAGAAAAGGGUGCAGAACCUGGAAAGCAGGAUGAACAUUGUUCAGGAGUUUCAGGAGCAACAGACGUCAGUGAUGAAUUCUCUGCUAAAAAAAAAAAAAAACAUUGCUGUUCCUUUGGCUCCUCAGGUCCAGGCUGUGGACUCCACAGUGCAGGGGCUGACUCAGCAAAAUGCCCGACUCAAAUCUGACCUGCGCAUCACGCAGCAGGAGCGAGACGCUCUCAAACAGGAAGUGAUCUCACUGCACAAACAGCUGCAGAAUUCGAACGAGAAGAUGUCCAUAUCUGGGAUCUCUGGUGGUUCGCAGCAGGGGAAGCGUGUAUGGACUGAGCUCUCUGGACUAAUGGAGGCGGAGCUUACUUUACUGCGUGAAGAAAAUCAGCGGCUCCAGUGUGAGAUCAGCGAUUCUCGUCUAGAGCUCAACUCUGCACGAGAUAAGGCUCGUCAGCUGGAGGUGUUGGUGUUGAGCAUCAAACAGCAGAAGCAGCAGAACCAGGCGAGUCUGGCUAAAGCAGCAGAGCAGGAGAGAUCAGCUUUCAAACGAGAGAUAGAGGCACUGCACACCCAGCUACACAACAAGAUAUGUGACAGCAGUGAGGAGCAGAGGGUCAUGGAGAGUCUUCAGGAGGAGAAUGAAAGAUUGAAAAACAAACAGACAAUACUGGAAGCCCAGCUGAUGGAGGUCUUGGCACAUAUACACAUCUCUUUUAGAAUUCACAAUUCUUCUCAGCUAUAUUACAAAGAUUUCACUUGCAUUAGUAAUCACGCAGACAUUCUUUUAAAACUUUAUCAACAGUGCAUUUGUGUUCGCUUUGCUGCUCAAGAACUCUGUUUAACAAAUCCUGUUCAUCUACAGGAGGAGCGGGAGCUGGCACUGCUGAAGAUGGAGGAGAGGAUGAAGGAGGUGGAGCUUACACUCCGAAAUGUCAAGCUGUUGCUGCAGGAGAAGGUUUCUCAACUCAAAGAACAGCUUAAUAAGAACAGUAAGGCGGACGUGCUGAUUAAGGAUCUGUAUGUGGAGAACGCUCAGCUGUUGAAGGCUCUGGAAAUGAGUGAGCAGAGACACAAAGUGGCAGAGAAGAAGAACUACCUCCUGGAAGAAAAAAUCUCCAGUCUCAACAAGAUUGUGCGUGAGCUCAGUCCCUCACCCCUGACUCCUGUGCCCUACCACUUCACUCGCUCCUGAUAAUCCAGUCUACACUACGUUUGUUUGUGUUAUAUUAUUUACUUAUGUUUAUUUUAAUUUAUUUUAUUGAAUAGGCCAUUAAGACAUCAUUUUUUGGUUCAUUAUUAUUGCAAACCAAUAGAAAACACUGAUUACAAUUGUUAGCUAAUAAUAAACAUUAAAAUUUCAUUAGACUGCA